rnacentral:rRNA from 1 species
UGUGUACCUGCUCUUGAAGCAGGUAUUUAUUAUCUAUCAUACUUCCAAGAAAAGCUCGAACUACUGUUAAAUAUGAAAUACCUGUACCGUAAACCGACACAGGUAGGUUAGUAGAGUAUACUAAGGGGCGCGAGAUAACUCUCUCUAAGGAACUCGGCAAAAUGACCCCGUAACUUCGGGAGAAGGGGUGCCCACUCUAAAGGUGGGCCGCAGUGACCAGGCCCUGGCGACUGUUUAUCAAAAACAUAGGUCUCCGCAAAGUCGUAAGACAACAUAUGGGGGCUGACGCCUGCCCAGUGCCGGAAGGUUAAGGAAGUAGGUUAGGAUUUAUCCGAAGCUCACGACUGAAGCCCCGGUGAACGGCGGCCGUAACAAUAACGGUCCUAAGGUAGCGAAAUUCCUUGUCGGGUAAGUUCCGACCCGCACGAAAGGCGUAACGAUCAGGGCACUGUCUCGGAGAGAGACUCGGUGAAAUAUACAUGUCUGUGAAGAUGCGGACUACUUGCACUUGGACAGAAAGACCCUAUGAAGCUUGACUGUAGCUUGGAAUUGGGUUCGGGCUUUUCUUGCGCAGCCUAGGUGGGAGGCUUUGAAGAAAUACUUCUGGGUAUUUUGGAGCCGUCAGUGAGAGACCACUCUGGAGAAGCUAGAAUUCUAAUGGCGUUCCUUGAAGCAGGACGCUUGACAGUUUCAGGUGGGCAGUUUGACUGGGGCGGUCACCUCCUAAAAGGUAACGGAGGUGUGCAAAGGUUCCCUCAGGCUGGACGGAAAUCAGCCGUAGAGUGUAAAGGCAGAAGGGAGCUUGACUGCAAGACCUACAAGUCGAGCAGGGGCGAAAGCCGGCCUUAGUGAUCCGACGGUUCCGUGUGGAAGGGCCGUCGCUAAACGGAUAAAAGUUACUCUAGGAUAACAGGCUGAUCUUCCCCAAGAGUUCACAUCUACGGGAAGGUUUGGCACCUUGAUGUCGGCUCAUCGCAACCUGGGGCGGUAGUACGUCCCAAGGGUUGGGCUGUUCGCCCAUGAAAGCGGUACGUGAGCUGGGUCCAGAACGUCGGAGACAGUUCGGUCCAUAUCCGGUGUAAGCGUUGGAGCAUUGAGAGGAUUCUUCCAUAGUACGAGAGGACCUGGAAGAACACACCUCUGGUAUACCAGUUAUCACGCCAGUGGUAAACGCUGGGUAGCCAAGUGUGGAGAGGAUAACCGCUGAAAGCAUCUAAGUGGGAAGCCCACCUCAAGAUGAGUGCUCCCUAUGAGGUCACGGCAAGACCAGCCGUUUGAUAGGCAGUAGGUGUACGUCUAGCAAUAGAUUUAGCUGAGCUGUACUAAUAGACCCAUUGAUUUUGACC